GGCAAAAAAAAAAAAAAACAAAUCUUAGGUAACAUGGAUAAAAAAGUAUAAAGCAAAACUUAUGCAAGGAACUAAAACAAAAAAUUAAGACAACCUUACAUGUUUGUGGAUACAAAAUUUGUGCAGAACUAACAAUUUCAUACCACUGUGUUACAGUUCAGGAAUAAGAAAAAAAAAACGGAUUGCAAAGACAGUAUUACAUUAAUUUUACCAGUCGUAGCAAAUCUAGAAGUAGCAUAAAACCCACAAAGAAACAAAAUAGCAUAACCAUGGAGAGGAUGGGACAAGGGAAAAGGUGGAUAUCAGUGUCAGGAGAGGGAAAACAUAUAAUGAAUUAAGAAUAUGAUCUCAUUACUGAACGGGUCAUCUGUCAGCCUUCUUUCAACAAAUGUACCAAGUCAACUGCUCCAACUCCCCAGUGCUGUACAUGCCCUAAAGACAGAGCACUACCCCAAAAAAGACUGCUGGGUCUUAGCACCUCUUUUCUCUACUUUUCACCACUUCUGCAAGACACCAUGGAUUUUCUUCUUGCUUAUCUUUUGUCAGACAACCCUGGCUCGGGGACAGCCACAGCUCCUCUGUGGCACUGCCACCAGCAGACAGGCUGGACACACACAGGUGCCACGUCUGCAGCAUAUGGGGGCACUGACUCAAAAGCAAGAAAAGCUUCAGCUCACUGCACCAGAAGUGCUCAAUUCUGAAUAAAAGCAGGUCCACAAAGAAAUUAGUUAUCCCAAACAAACUUCUGCGCUGUACAUCUAAAUAUAAUUUCAGCCCAGGCUUUUCUCUCUGCAUGGCACUGUGCUGUCCCAGUUAUCACAGUUAAAUACAGGACUUCUAAAAGCCCUGUAUCGUGCUGGAAGAAAUGUGCACAGCCACAUACAUUCAGCCCUCCCAGAACUAAGAAAAGCAGCUGCACACAUAGAUCAGGCCACUGCAGAAGCUCCUAUUUAGCGCUAGACACUGCUUGACCUGACAGAUCUAUUCCUAGAAAAUACCUACUAGAGAAAUAGUUAUGUUUACCCAUUCCUUCCCCUUUUUUUUUUUUUUUCUUAAGGUAAGAGUAGUCUUGAAGAACCACCAUGCACAAACAGCCCCCCCCACUCCAGGCGACCAGCGGAAGCUGUAUCUGAAUCUCCAUGGAGGAAGGAAGGAGAUCUGGUUCCAUGCUUUCAGCACAUCACUAUCUAUCACAUUUGCUCACGUAUGCAAAACAUUUGCUCACAUGCAAGGCCUGUUUGCUGCAAGACUCUGGGCACUGAGGUGCCCAAAAAGCAGAAGCCAGCAGGAGAAUGUGUUACCAAUUCCCAUCACUUGGAGGGCCUCAGUUUUCCGAGCUACUGGAAUGCAAAUAAACAAACCCAUACUCUGGAUUUGUGCCCCAUAUGAGUUCCACAAGUUCCAAGAAGUCUUGUUUUUAUUCAUGCUCACAUUUGGGAUUUGUGCAAUGUGGACCAGAAUGUUUCAGCACUUCUUAAAAACAAGAAAUAAAACCCAAACAAACCAGAACUAGACUACCGAUAAGCAAUAUUUCUAACUCUUACAACUCAAUUCUAAGUCUCCAGAUAUUUGAUCACUUGCAUCAAAUCCCUGCUCUUCAAUAUAUGUGACCACAACAUAAAUUUUAAAGUUGAGAUGAUGUUAAAGCAACUUUCUAACCCUUUGUGGUUUCAAAAAAGUGCAUAAAAAUGCAACCCAAGUGUGUAGAAUUUGGACCUAAAGCCUAAGCCAACUGAGAGCCAACUUUUAAACUUGAGGGAAUAUCUGAUACAUUGCAGAUUUUCAGAUGGCACUAUUAAGCAAGUAAACUGCUACAUUUUCAAAAGUCCACCAGUUUUCUUAGACAGCAGUCAAAACACCACCACAUAGAGGGGUGCAUGAAUUUCCAGAACAGGUCCUGAUGGAUCACAGCUACUAUUGGCUUCCUCAGGUUUUCCAGACAAUCAGUGAAGUAUUUUUUCCUUCUUCCAAGGAAAACGUCCUCACAGGAUAUGUGCAUGACUCUGCUUCAAAGUUCACAAUGUUUUUUGGAGAGCAAGAAGCUACUGCUGCCACAGCUGAAGCCUCUACAAGAACAUGACAGCUCAAACAGUGGGUUUUCAGGGAACAGACACCAAGCCAUUACCCACAAAAAUAAACUCAUCAUCUUCAUUUUUCCAUGACCACUCCACAGUCACAAGCAACCCUGCGUACAACCAUGACAGCCUGUGAGGAGCCCAGGUCAGCAGCUGUCCUAAAACACAGGCUGAGAAACACGUGGGCUUCUCUGAGACUGCCCCAAGGGCAGACAGAGGCAUUGACAAGCAGCAGGGGUGAGCUCACAGCAGACCCCAUCCAGUCAGUAAUUAUUGCAGGGAUUACAAAGCCUUCAGGACUGUCAGUUGUGCUGUUUUUUACUAGCAAUAAAUUCCAUUAGAAGAAACAGAGCAAGAAGGCAUGGCUGCUCCCACUCCACUUCUAUCCCACAACAGCCGUGCUUUCAGCACAUACUUUCAGCUCCUACACCAGGCUGACCUAAGGGCAAGAUGAACAUUUCAGAAGAUCUUACUGUUACACUUUUUUUUUCUCCUUUUAAAACCGUUAGUCUGGACUCUCAGUAAAGCCCUUCUCUUACCCACCCCUGGCAAAGAGGAUCCAAGAAGUCUUACAGUGCAAAGGCUAAAGCACAAACAGCUUCUUUUGGACAUGCACAUGAAGCCCAGCAGGAACAGUCCAAACCCAGAGGGCUCAGUUUUGCACACAAGCGCAGACAUGGACAGCUUCCAUUUCUACCAGUGGAUAACACACCAGUGGGAGACAAAAUAAAAUCAAAUAACCAGACCCAAGGGAAAGCAGUAAAGCACAAGGGUCGAUAAAGCAACUUCCAUGAGCUCUACCAAGUGGCCAGGAUCCAGAGCAGCCUCCCAGCCCCGCUAAGGGUGAGAUGUUCUGUCUGUCAGAUAAGCAGAGGAGGCCAGAGCCCACAGCCAAUGCCCACGUCAAGCUAGUGAACCCACACCUUCAACAGCAGGAUGUUUGCAAAAGCAAAAAAAUGUUUGCUGGCUUCAAAAUGCCAGCCCUGUUGAUAAAGUAUGAAAUAUUAGCAUUGUUUAAGGUGACGAGCCUGACUCAAGGCCUCCUCAUCCAAGAAUUGUCAUGCCUGUAACACAAUAUUGAUGUGGUGGCUUAUAAUUCUUACUUUACAUAAAAGCCUCAUUGUGUGCCAAAUUCAAUCUCCACAGGCUACCUGAGCCACAGAUUUUUACAAGUCUACAUUUCAGCGCUGUGAGUCUACAAUACACAUAAUUUUCAAUUAUGUUAGGGCAGAACAGGAUCACUGCCUAUAUAACAUUACUGGUUGGAGGAAAUGAGACUCAGCCCUACUGCCGAGAGAGCUAACUGGAUCCAGAUGGUGGCCGAGCGCGGCAGCCGGCCCAGGGAGCGCCGUCGCAGCAGCCACCCCCUCUACAACUCUCUCUUUCACAGUGCAGGGACAUGCCAAGCCCUUGCUGGGGCUGGGAGCUGUGACAGGAGGAUGCUUGGGCAGGGGGGAAUUGCAUCACCUUGGGGAAGAGGAGGGAGAACGGUGAUUGCUCUCACAGGUUUACUACUUCUGCCCUACACUAUGAUAUUCUUAUUAAAAAGGAGAAAAAUUAAGUCCUGCUACAGCAGAGAGGUAAAUCCUUUCCUUCCUCGAGCAACUAAAUAGCAGGAAAUCCUCUUCUCUUGGCCCUAAAUGCAGAUUUGAGCCAGACAGUUCCUCUUGAUUUGCAAGGAGUCCACAAAAAUCCAAAGCUGACUUUCCCAGCCUUCUGACACUGCUUUUACAUUCCUGCACCGGGCAGCUGGGAGGGGGCAGAAGGGUAGGAGGGAGGGGAAGUUCCCACCAGCCUGCUCCUGCAAUUGCUGGACACCCACUCCCUCCUCUCCUGCUUCUUGUGUCUCGGGGUGGAAAUCGGGACUUGCCUGUACAAACACUGAACUUUUCAACAAAUUAACUCUAACAAAUCUGUGCAAAUUAUUUCAGAACAAAACUGUUGAAAUGGGCUCUGCUGGCCUGCUUUUAACAUUUUUUUAAAAUAACGUCAUCGUGGUGCAAGUACUUUAUUCCCUGUUUAACAAUAUGAUCUGAUGGGGAUCAUUAGCAUGUGUGCAUUUAAAAAAAAAAAAAGUUUUAUGGCAAGUCUCAGAGAGCUUAAGCAAAAUAAUUGUUAAGCUCCAGGCCUCCACACAAGAAUUAAAACAAGUAUGGGGCGAACGUACUUGAGAGAAACCAAAGCCUUUAAAAAGGCUGUUAAAUUGUCAGCACAAGGGAAAAGGCAAAUGAUUUGAAUGGCCCAGAUUUUUUUUUGUAGUAAGGAACAAAAAAAACCCAAGAACCUUCCUACACAUCCACACCUCCCAUCUACAACCAGAGGGUUCUGCAAAGCACAGACCCGCCGGGAGCAGCUCUGCACAGCCACCCUCCAGAGCAGCCACCUUCCUGAGCUCUUGCUGGGUGAACAAACAUCUUCCCCAAGUUUUCACAGCAGAGUUGGUCAAAAGCAGCUGAACUUCACAUCCAGCAGUCGAGGAGUUUGCUGGAAGCUCUAACUCAGGGCCAGCAGCUGCCCCACAGGCUGGGGCAGGGCUCACAGCAGUGCAGCCGUGGAGGAAAGGAUGGCACUGAGCUCACAGGUGUUUCCUGCACCGGUGUCCAACCUGGACCUGUCCCCUUGUCACACUAUUGUUUUCACUGCUAGAUUGUCCUACAAGUGAUGUUCUUCAACAUAUAAAAACAUAAACACAGUAAGGGGGAAAAAAGGCCAUAUUUUUUAACAGAAGGAAAGCUGCACAAUGCUUUCCAGCUCAGGUUUCCUGCAGCUGGUGCUUAUUAGCUCCCAGGAACCGAAACAAGCAGGAGCAGGGCUCCUGCAGUCAGCUUGAUGCCACUGGUCUCCAAUACCUCCCCUAACCACUGGAUCACACUUUCAAAGUCUGCACUUUCUCCCUGGAUCUCAAAUAGAAAUAUUUAUGAUCCUAGUUUUGGGGUCAGUCUCUCCCUUGGCCAGCACUGUAGAGUCACAUGGAAGUACACAUCUGGAUGUCAACUUGAAGGUCAGGAGUUUCUCCAAUAUUUAGUUUAGAAGCAUUUCUGGGAGGGAGCAUCUAGACAAAUUUUAACCAGAGAUAAUCCAGUAGCAACACGGAGAUCACAAUGCUGAGGGGAGAGCUGAUAUUUAUGGGGAAGCCAAUAAGGAACAAAGAUUAACAAGGCCAUAAUAGCCCUAACAGAAAAAAAAGAAAAAAAAAAGUUGCAAGAGGAUACUCAUCUUGGUACCUACAAAGAAAGGUCUGUCACCUAUUAGUGUCCACACUUCCGUUAGAAGCAAAGCCUCUAAAGAUUUAACUGUAGACCCUUAGCUUCUGCUCCAUUGACUAAUUUACCGCAACCCCUUAUUUCUGGUCUUCAGUUAUCACCUUGUUUGUAGAGGUGCACGUGUGAGAGCAAAAUCUGAAGGAUUUAUUUUAAAUAACUGAAGGAGGCUGUUGAAGGAACUUUAAAAAGGCCUCCUAUUCCUCGCAGACCUGCAAUGUCUGGAAUUUUUUGUAUGAGAAGUAAUAGACACCACCCACGAUGCUGAGCCCUUCUACAGAAUAUGCAAUGCACCACCACGAGGCACAGGGGAGCUGCUCAAAACAAGAGCAGCAAGGUUGAUUUCAGUGAGACCAAUCCUUUCCACACACAAGAUUUCCCCAGAGCAUUCAAUAAAUUAAAGCAUAAAAUUCUAAAACAUGAAAGUAUUUAUCAUAUAUCUGCACUUUUCAUUUUAUUAACAUAAUCUUUUAAACUAUUGCAACACCACAAAAAUUAAUUAUUAAGUAAAAUACAUAGAUAGUGGGGAAAUGGUACAAAAACAAGAAACAGGUAAGCGUUAUGUUCCUUCACUGACACAUGCACGUAAGGCCUCUUCCAAAUUUAAAAUGUCCUUUAAUUCUCUCAUUAUUGAGAAUUUGAGUGACCUUGUCUCCUUCCCUUCCAGUAAUACACAGGAGUCCCUGACACAGGGACCUUGAGUUGCCCAUUUCAGUAUUUUGCCCGUGCCUUUGUCGCAUUGCUGAGCUGCUGCUAGGGCAGAAAAAUGAGACAGCUGAGUGCUCCACUGGCUGAAAACUAGAGAAAGGUGUUAGUGAUUAAACAGCCCAAGAUCACCUAAAGGAGGGAAUCCUGACAGCAGAAACCCUGGGACCUGGAACUGUCUCCCUGAAGGUACAGAGCAACCCAAGGUGAUGGGCAAAGAGGUUGCCCAUUUUGGCAUGGGAUAAGAUACAAAGCAGCAGCCUGAGCCCCACAGGCACCUUGUCAACUGCAGUUCUCCAGACUGGAGAUGUGGGAAUGUCCCAGAAAGAGCAGAUCCUGAGCUUUGUCCUGACCUCUCCAGGCUCUUCUGCAUCUCAGAAGAGAUGCAAUGUAACAGGUCCCCUCCAUCACUACUGCCAGGCAUCACCCCCACUUGCAUGGGUUUUCUGUACAGAGCGACAAGGGGACAGAGGAGGCUGUCAUGGGAGAGAGCUGAAGAGAAUAACCAGAAGCUUCCUCAAAAAUUAUUGCCUAUGAAAGUUCAAGCAAAUGCAGAUAAUUAUUUGCUCAUUCUGACAUGGAUGAAAGGCAUUCUUGCCAUAAGUUCUACUGAAACACUGAAGUGAAACAGGUUUUUUGCUUCUACUGAAGGCAAGGUUGGUAGGCUACAGUUGAGCUCUGGGAUACAGACACCGAGCAUAAAGAAGUAAAAUAAAGGCUAAUCAGCUACUGCAGGAAUUUAAAAUAAUUCUUUUAGCUUUACAAGAGGAAGAGUGUUCAUGUGACAUAGAAGUACAGCAUUACUUUCUGCAGUUCACAUGGUAUCUCUGCAAAGUAACUGCAGGCUAUAUUUCUCAAUCCUGGGUGGAGCUUGGGAAAGCACCACUACUUUUUUCACAUUUAAUUUGAAAGACCCCACCAUCCUUGCUGCACAAACCAGCAGGUUGGCUGAGGACUAUUCAGAUGUCUGCAAAGUGCUGUUCCAAAAGACGGUACAAAUAAAAACAUCAUUUCAGUCAAGGAAUAAGAAUAAGCAUUUUAUUUACUUUAAACCAUAAUAAAAACUUCAUUUUUAAGCAACUUUCCCCAAAUUUUCUCUGCAACCUGUUCUGUUGCACUUAAGCAUUGAGUUUCCAAUAGAUGAAGACUAGGACAGUCAAAAAAUCUCAAGAAAGUCUUUCUGUAGGUCUGUCUAGCUUAGACUCACAGUUUAACCAGCCUCUAAGACUCACCAAAAAAUUUGAUGUACAGACACACAAUUUCUCAUCCUGGCAAUCUCCCAGAAAGUGAGAGAACAAUUGGUAACUAGUGUUUGCAUGAAGUCCAAGAAUGCAUUUUAUGGUCUAUAAAAUAUAAUUCUUUUCCUCCCCUUUAAAUCAAGGCAGUAAAGAUAUCUGACAGCAUGUUAGAGACAAAGAUCAUGGCACUGAGCUACCUCCAUUCAAACAGAGGAGCUGCUCCAGGGGAACCUUGCCUCCCUUAAAACAUUCCAACUCUGUUAAGAGCAUAGCUCUAUUUGUAAAGGAGGGGCUGUAACUUGAAGCCUUUUAAACUUUUUUUUUAAGGAAAAGCAAGAAAAAUCCCACAGCACAGCUGUGCAAGGAGCAAAAGAGGCCCUCCAAAUCUGCCCUCAUCUUUCCGUUCACGUCCACCACUUGGAGGUUGGAAUGGAAUUGGAAACAUGGGAAUGUAUUUCCUGAUUAUGGGAAGCAUCAACCAGGCUCCUUAGGUACCCUGGUAGUGAAGCACUUCAGGAAAUUCAUCUCUGCAUGACCAUAAUACUGAACUGGUACCAUUUUCCAGUGCAUGUCUUUGUGUGAAGGCAAAAAAACAAACUCAGACUAACAGACGUAAACAAGCCUAUCUUUGUACAACCCUGUCCUGCAUCAGUCACAGAAUCAUGGAAUGGUUUGAGUUGGAUGGGACCUUGAAGAUCAUCCAAAGUUCCAACUGUCCUGCCACAAGCAGGGACACUGAGACCAGGCUGCUCAGAGCCCCAUCCAGCCUGACCGUGGAUGGGGCAUCCACAAUUUCUCUGGGCAACCUGUGCCAGUCCCUCAACACCCUCACAGGGAAGAAUUUCUUCCUAAUACCUAAUCUAGACCUACCCUCUAUGAGCCAAAAAGGUAUUGAUUUAUAGAGUGCUUGGCACUUCCAGCUAUCAAAAGCCAGCAGAGGCAUGACAAAGGCAAGACAGUAAAAGGAUGCUCUGCAAGACAAGUCCCUCUCCAAAGGGGCCUCCAAGACUACCUUGGUUGGGAGGGGUUUCUUCACUCUUUGAUCCAAAUUCUCAUCUCAGAUCUUGUGAAGUAUCUGCGAAUGAGUGGCACAGGUGGGUGAGAUCCCUGAGUAAAAGAGCUACAGGAAAAUUUAGCAGUUUGCUCAUUAGUGUAACAUGGCCUAAGAAGGUUUUACUGAAAGAGUCAUAUUUUCUUCCACUGUUGGGUAAGUGAAACUCAUGACUCUAAUCACUACCACAAAAAUUCCUGUCGAUGUAGCAAUUCUGGGUGAACUGCUGGGAGCCACUCUCUAGUAAACCCAGCAAAUUUCAUACCGAAUUUCCUGUCGCCUCCCUUGUGGUUUCCAUGUGUGAUUGGGCCUUCAAUGCAACAAGGGGUAACUGCAGAAUAGAUGGCUCCAAGGGUUUCAGGCCUUCAUGAAAAUGAAGAACUUGCAAAAUUCUCUUUUCCUAGGGGUGGUCCUGGGGACAGCAAGACCGCUGCACCCAUUUUCCUUCCAAAUAAAAGCUGCACGUCUCAAUUGUCCAUCAGAAGAGGAAAGGAUGAAGGCUUGCCUUUGGAUACCCACGGAAAAGACAUCCCAUCUGGCCAGAGGGAAAGAUGACUCCUCGUUAAGUAGGAAGAAUUAUAUUUAGGUGGAGGACUAAGUGAAUCAUUUGGGAUGAAAGCAAAAUAAAACAAAUGAAGUAUUCACUAAAUCUGUGUUGUUACCUCUUGUUCCUGGGCAGCCACCCUGUGUAUUUAUUUUCUGGUUUCCUCCAGCACCACCAAAACAAUGCAAUAUGCAUUUAGGUAUUUAAAAGAAGUAUUUUUUAAAAUAUUUUUAGUUGAAUCAUCAGCCACACAAACUGUUCCUCAAGAACACAUAAAAUGUUGGGUUUUUUUUAAAGGAGAUGCAGAGAAAAAAGAUCUUAGAACAAAUAUGGCUCAGAAUUGACACCAUUAUGGAAUAUUUUUCCUCAAUUUAAAGGGCACCCCCAAUGAAAAUAAGCCAAAUUACAACAAAAAUAAGCCAAAUUACAACAAAUUCCAAGUAAAUCAUGGCAUGAUUUUAGAAAGGCACGCUGAGUUUUCAAGUACUUUUAGGUUAUGCAUUAAAUGUAAGUAACUUUUCUUGAACUGGCAUAGUUUGCAGACUUAAGAUGCACAAAAUACACUACUAAAAGUUUUGAAGAAAUGGGGGGCCUUUUGUUUAUUCAGAGAGAAAAAUUUUCCUCAGUCAAAAAACUGCACUACCAUAUCCACUCCCUGAGCUGAAAAGAGUAGAAACAAAAACCAAACAGCAAAAUGAACUAACACAAAAUAAUCCUUUUUGAUUUAACAAAUCGGGGGAAAAAAAAGGAAAGCACUCUUUUUUUUUGAGCAGCAAAUUGAAAUAAUGCAUUGCUCCAUGUAUGUAUAGGGGGAAAAAAACCAAACAAAAAAAUUUUCUGCUGCACAGGGAAAAUGCAACAUGCAUGAGCCGGCAUUCUUCUUCUUUAAGUGUGGGUGGAAAAGAAGCAGGAGGGGAAGAAAAAAAAAAAAUCCGAAUUUUUUUUUAAAUCCAUGUAGAAAGAGUGGCUUGGAGGGGCCUCUGUCCCAGGGAGAAGGGCACCAGCAGCUCUGCAAUAGUUCAUGUCCUGGAGGGACUGUGCCCCAUGCGCCAGAUUCUUGUGGUUGUGGCAGAGGUUUGUUUGGGAGAGGUGAGGGCGGCUCUGCCGAGCGAACACCCAGCCCACGGCCGCGGGGAGCCCGCAGACACCACACUCCCACAUCUGCAUCUGUCACACUUUCAUGCCACAGCCCCAAAGCUGAAACAAAGGAGUCAUCGGAGCAGCCCCGAGCUGUAUAAAUCUGCAAAUAGCUGAAAAUGUUGCUCUUGUUGCUAAAUAUAGUGCAGGCAUUUUGAACUGGCUGGCCUGCAAGGCAACUUUUGUAUUUGUUUAUUUAAAGGACCAUGGUUUGAAAACACUGAGUGUUUUUUAAGCUUGUUCAUGUAUGUAUGUUUGCUCUCUCUCAAUAUCAAUAUGCAAAAAAAAAUUAAAAUAACUUAGCAGGUACUGGAAAAACAACUUCCAUGUAAAGGAGUCAGACAGCUGAGCAGAAAGAUGCAUUUGACUUUGCAGCAGGAGCAAAAUCUCCUCCAAGGCUGGUAAAUCAUGCUCAUACAGAAUUAAACACAGAAUAGCUUCAACAGUGCACCCUGAUACAAUUAGCAAACGCUCUGCUCCCUGUCGGAGCCCUCCCCAGGAUCAUCACAUUCCUGCCUCGCCAUGGGAAGUGAGGGAUGCGGAUGCUGCCCAGGAGAGGGGAGGAGAGGCACAGCCCUGGGCUAGGGAACGCCUGCAAAACCCCACACGCCAGGCAAGAGGGAUGCACAGCCACCCACCCUCUUGUGGCAUCUCAAAGCCAGCACAGGGAUGCCCUUCUGCUGCUAAAUCCCGGGAGCUGGGCACCAGCUCACCCAGUGCCUCUGCAGGAGGCUGAGAGCCAGGCUGCCUGUGCGGGAGCUAAGAGCAGGACUCCCCAGGAAGGGCUCUGGGAUUGCAGCCCAGCCCCAAACCACACAGGAGUCACUGCAACAGAGCACUCACCUAUGGGAUGCUGCUCUCUGAAAGCCAAGGGCACAGCCCUGGACCUGGGGCGGCUGCUCAGACACCAAGGGGACACGGUGAUCCCCACAGAAGCUCAGGACAAGGAUGGGGGAACACACAAUCCCUCACGGCUCCAUGGGGAGAACCACAGCCAAACUGGCAGCACCUGAAGCUUCACAUGCCUGUGCCAAGUGCCCUGUACCCACAAGUGCCAGAUGAAUAUUUCAGGUUUCAGCCUUACCUGCAACUGAUAAAAAAACCCCAGUAGCUAGUCGAGGUUUGUUACAGCCGUACAGCUGUCUUAAGAAAAAAGGGAAAAAAAAAAAAAGCUUUUUCUUAGCAGGGCGGGGGGUGGAAGGGGCUGCAUCGACAGCUCCAGUAGCCAGAGGCACUUUGCAAGGAGGAAAGUAGAACUCACAAUGUGGGCAGGCCUCGGGUUUCUGAGCCUCAGGGCACAUCCAAGAGACACAGCGUAUUUACUGAACAGCCGGGAAAGCAAAGGCUCCAGUCUUACAGCACCUUAUAAUCUUAUUGUGGACGCUUAUAUUUUAUAAGUAUUUGAGGUUGAGGGGAGCAGGGUGGGGAGGGACACAAGAAGCCACUUUAGCUGCCUGGCGGGGUUCUGAGAGGCAGGUUUGUUUUUUAAAGAUGAGGUAGGAUGACUCCAUAUGUGGGUAAUUAUAAAUGAAGCCACUAAGGAUCAAUGAGCUCCCUUUCAUAGCAAUCGCUUAUUUAUUUAUUUUAAAAAUCAUGACACAGCAUUUCUGUUCUAUUUCCAAGUCAAAUUUAUCCUAGGUGGAAUCAGAGGAAGAAAAAACAGGUUCCUAAACAGAUUUUUUUGAAGGCACUAAUAGACUGGAGAGCAUCUGCGCAGGACAGUAAGUUGAAGUCAGCGUUUCUGCAUGCUGCACAGCCAACCCCACAACCUCAGGAGGGAACUUUCAUCUCCACAGACCUGCACACAAAAGGUCAUUGCAGUGCACCCUGCUCCCGCUAAGGAGCUUACCUCUCACACGUAACAUCAGGCUUAUUAAGCAACGUGAGAUGAUACAAUAGCCACUAAUCUACUGAAAAUUAUUAUUCCUUUCCUCCUGCCCCCAAGCAACACGGGGAUUUGCAACAUGCUGGUCUGUAGGAUGUACCUGAAGGACAGAGGGAAUUCAAACUGCCCUGCCCCUCGCAGUCCCUUGGUGAUACCUCCCAGUGAUUUCCAGUGAGGCUGUCAGAGGUAGCCCAAGUAUUGUAGAAAAAUUCCUCUGACUUUGUAUGGAUUUAAUCAGAACAAAAAGUUGCAUUUAUAAAGAAAAAGAAAAAAAAAAAAAAAAAAA